CUACCAUGGCAAUUACGGGUAACGGAGAAUUAGGGUUCGAUUCCGGAGAGGGAGCCUGAGAAACGGCUACCACAUCUACGGAAGGCAGCAGGCGCGAAAAUUGCCCAAUCCUGAUUCAGGGAGGCAGUGACAAGAAAUAACAACUCUCAACAUUGUUGAGAAGUGUAAUGAGGAUAAUUUACAAACCUUACCGAAAGCAAUUGGAGGGCAAGUCUGGUGCCAGCAGCCGCGGUAAUUCCAGCUCCAAAAGCGUACAUUAAAGUUGUUGCAGUUAAAAAGCUCGUAGUUGAAAAUCUGAUUGCUCAGGUCUCCAGCCUUUAGGCGGGGAUUCUGACAGUCAUCCGCUUGCAAACAUAUGUUCGAUCUUCACCGGUUGGCUAUGUGAGUAAGCACUUUACCUUGAGAAAAACAGAGUGUUCCAGGCAGGUUUGUCCGGAAUGCAUUAGCAUGGAAUAAUAGAACAUGACUGAAGUCUAUUUAUUGGUUAAAGGCUUUAGUAAUGAUUAAUAGGAACAGUCGGGGGCAUUCGUACUCAGCAGUCAGAGGUGAAAUUCUAAGAUUUGCUGAAGACGAACUAAUGCGAAAGCAUUUGCCAAGGAUGUUUUCAUUAAUCAAGAACGAAAGUUAGGGGAUC
rnacentral:rRNA from 1 species